rnacentral:rRNA from 1 species
AUAGCGUAUAUUAAAGUUGUUGCAGUUAAAAAGCUCGUAGUUGAAUUUCGGGAUUGACACAUCGGUCGUGCCUUAAGGGGUAUGAACUGGUGUAGUCAAUUUCUCACCUUCUGGAGAACCGCGAUGCCCUUAAUUGGGUGUCGCGGGGAACCAGGACCUUUACUUUGAAAAAAUUAGAGUGUUUAAAGCAGGCAUUUUGCUUGAAUACAUUAGCAUGGAAUAAUAAAAUAGGACGGCAUGAUUCUAUUUUGUUGGUUUCUAGGAUCACCGUAAUGAUUAAUAGGGAUAGUUGGGGGCAUUAGUAUUCAAUUGUCAGAGGUGAAAUUCUUGGAUUUAUUGAAGACUAACUACUG